ACGAACGCUGGCGGUAUGCUUAACACAUGCAAGUCGAACGGAUUUUAGGGGCAACUCUAAAGUUAGUGGCAAACGGGUGAGGAAUAUAUAGGAAUCUCCCCAGCAGUAAGGAAUAACCUUGGGAAACCAAAGCUAAUGCCAUAUAUCACCGCUUCGGCGGGAAAGAUUUAUCGCUGUUGGAUGAGCCUGUAUCGGAUUAGCUAGUUGGUAGGGUAAUGGCCUACCAAGGCAAUGAUCCGUAGCUGGUCUGAGAGGAUGAUCAGCCACACUGGGACUGAGACACGGCCCAGACUCCUACGGGAGGCAGCAGUGGGGAAUAUUGGACAAUGGGCGCAAGCCUGAUCCAGCAAUACCGCGUGAGUGAUGAAGGCCUUCGGGUUGUAAAGCUCUUUUAGUAGGGAAGAUAAUGACGGUACCUACAGAAAAAGCACCGGCUAACUUCGU
rnacentral:rRNA from 1 species